CCUACGGGAGGCAGCAGUGGGGAAUCUUGCGCAAUGGGGGCAACCCUGACGCAGCCAUGCCGCGUGAAUGAUGAAGGCCUUAGGGUUGUAAAGUUCUUUUGCCCGUGACGAUGAUGACGGUAACGGGAGAAUAAGCUCCGGCUAACUUCGUGCCAGCAGCCGCGGUAAUACGAAGGGGGCUAGCGUUGUUCGGAAUUACUGGGCGUAAAGCGCGCGCAGGCGGUUCGAUAAGUUAGGGGUGAAAUCCCUGGGCUCAACCCAGGAAUGGCCUUUAAGACUGUCGAGCUAGAGGACGAGAGAGGUGAGUGGAAUUCCCAGUGUAGAGGUGAAAUUCGUAGAUAUUGGGAAGAACACCGGUGGCGAAGGCGGCUCACUGGCUCGUUUCUGACGCUGAGGCGCGAAAGCGUGGGGAGCAAACAGGAUUAGAUACCCUGGUAGUCCACGCCCUAAACGAUGAGUGCGAGGUGGUCGGGAGGACGUAGUCUUCUCGGCGCCGCGAGCUACGACCUACGCACUCCGCCGUCGGGAGGUACGGCCGGCGACGGUAAACGUACGAAAGAGAGUAGACGGUCGUGAGUUAGNGACGACGGACGACGACGGAGGGAGGAGG
rnacentral:rRNA from 1 species